GCCACUGUAGCUCAGGUGGUAGAGCAGCUGACUUGUAAUCAGCAGGUCGGGGGUUCAAAUCCCUCCAGUGGCU
rnacentral:tRNA from 2 species